GACGAACGCUGGCGGCGUGCUUAACACAUGCAAGUCGAACGGAAAGGCCCUGCUUUUGUGGGGUGCUCGAGUGGCGAACGGGUGAGUAACACGUGAGUAACCUGCCCUUGACUUUGGGAUAACUUCAGGAAACUGGGGCUAAUACCGGAUAGGAGCUCCUGCUGCAUGGUGGGGGUUGGAAAGUUUCGGCGGUUGGGGAUGGACUCGCGGCUUAUCAGCUUGUUGGUGGGGUAGUUGCUUACCAAGGCUUUGACGGGUAGCCGGCCUGAGAGGGUGACCGGCCACAUUGGGACUGAGAUACGGCCCAGACUCCUACGGGAGGCAGCAGUGGGGAAUAUUGCACAAUGGGCGGAAGACUGAUGCAGCAACGCCGCGUGCGGGAUGACGGCCUUCGGGUUGUAAACCGCUUUCGCCUGUGACGAAGCGUGAGUGACGGUAAUGGGUAAAGAAGCACCGGCUAACUACGUG
rnacentral:rRNA from 1 species